rnacentral:misc_RNA from 1 species
GAUGAAGAACGUAGCGAAAUGCGAUAAGUAAUGUGAAUUGCAGAAUUUAGUGAAUCAUCGAAUCUUUGAACGCACAUUGCGCCCGCCAGUAUUCUGGCGAGCAUGCCUGUUCGAGCGUCAUUUCAACCAUCAAGCCCCAGGCUUGUGUUGGAGCCCUGCGGCUGCCGCAGCCUCCCAAAACCAGUGGCGGGCUCGCUAUCACACCGAGUGCAGUAGUUUACUCUUCGCUCAGGGCGUGUGGCGGGUGCUAGCCGUGAAACCCCCAACUUCUCAAGGUUGACCUCGGAUCAGGUAGGAAUACCCGCUGAACUUAAGCAUAUCAAUAAGCGGAGGA